rnacentral:rRNA from 1 species
GACGUAGGGCGCGAGCGUUGUCCGGAUUUAUUGGGCGUAAAGAGCUCGUAGGCGGCUUGUCGCGUCGACUGUGAAAACUCGGGGCUCAACUCCGAGCUUGCAGUCGAUACGGGCAGGCUAGAGUUCGGUAGGGGAGACUGGAAUUCCUGGUGUAGCGGUGAAAUGCGCAGAUAUCAGGAGGAACACCGGUGGCGAAGGCGGGUCUCUGGGCCUGUACUGACGCUGAGGAACGAAAGCGUGGGGAGCGAACAGG